AGAGUUUGAUCCUGGCUCAGAUUGAACGCUGGCGGCAGGCUUAACACAUGCAAGUCGAGCGGAAACAGAGAUAGCUUGCUAUCAGAUGUCGAGCGGCGGACGGGUGAGUAACGCGUAGGAAUCUACCUAGUAGUGGGGGAUAGCCCAGAGAAAUUUGGAUUAAUACCGCAUACGCCUCAUGGGGGAAAGGAGGGGACUAU
rnacentral:rRNA from 1 species